GAAGUUACAUUAAGAGAUUAAAAGAGAGGCACGACAUGCAAGUCAUAUUUUAAAAUCCCCAAAAAAAAUAAAGAAAAACUAAGGCCAUAAUCGAUCACCACAAGUCAAUAAUAAUAAAGAAAUUAUUAUUAUUAUUAAUUUAAAUUUUGUUAAUUAAAUAAACCAAAUUAAAUUUCGGCGACUGAUCACAAAAUAAACAACUCUUUGACAACACAACCCUUGUACCAUCGAUUUUUAAUUCAGUAUGCUUGAUUAACA
rnacentral:lncRNA from 1 species